AGGGAGGGAGGGAGAGAGAGAGAGAGAAAGAGAGAGAGAGAGAGAGAUGAGCUAUAUGUGGCAUUAGCAACGAAUGUGAAGGAGCACCCGGGAUGGACUUGAGGGUUGUGUUAUUGUAUUCCCUGGUCCAAAGCAUUUGGAGCCUCCAAGGACUCAUUUAAGAGAAGGCUAUGUGUUGAUGGCUGUUAGCACGCUAAUUUGUGAACCGCAAGUGCAGGGAUCAGUUGUACCUCUUCCCUCGGAGUACUCCCCCAAGGUUUAUCAAUCCAUGGAACUUAUAGCACAAGAUCUACUUCAACUAGCAUUGUUAGUAUUAACUUUUUGUUGAUGAGUGAUUCAGAUCCAAUCUACUAAGCAUGUACAGAUCGAUAACAGAUAAAGCAGAGGUAACCAAUCUAGACAAUCUGGACUAUGCAUAUGUUGUAAUUCUGAGCAUGGAUAGCAAACCAACACAUAUAUGAUCUUAGCAAGAAACAUCUUCAAAUCUAAACCUUCGGUCUGGCUCCGGAAACCCCCUAUAUUACACAAGAAAGAUCCUAUCACGAUCCCCUCUAUCAGCAUAUAUAGACUAAGGGCACGAUCAAAAGAACAUGUUAUACUCACCGGUAGAUCAGGCAUGCAAAUCUGGUCACCACGACCACAAGACAUCCUAAGCAAUCUAUCAUCAAUCAUAGCUUGAAAAGCAAGCAAACCCGAGAGAGCAUAAAACCAUAGAAGGAGAUAGCUA
rnacentral:lncRNA from 1 species